GAUUGGUGACAAUCCAUUUGUCGACGUAAAAGUUGCACGGCAGGCAGGGCAUCCUUGGUUUUCAAUUUUGACGAGGACUGGUGUUUUCAAAGAAAGAGGAAAUCAUGCAGAAUUUCCUGCUGAUCUAGUGGUCGACACUGUUGAAGAGGCAGUGGAUUUCAUUUUGAAGAGAGAGUCUAGUUAGCAG